UACGGAAGGUCCGGGCGUUAUCCGGAUUUAUUGGGUUUAAAGGGUGCGCAGGCGGAAUGUCAAGUCAGCGGUAAAAUUUCGGGGCUCAACGCCGUCGAGCCGUUGAAACUGGCGUUCUUGAGUGGGCGAGAAGUAUGCGGAAUGCGUGGUGUAGCGGUGAAAUGCAUAGAUAUCACGCAGAACUCCGAUUGCGAAGGCAGCAUACCGGCGCCCUACUGACGCUGAGGCACGAAAGCGUGGGUAUCGAACAGG
rnacentral:rRNA from 1 species